rnacentral:snRNA from 1 species
AUCGCUUCUCGGCCUUUUGGCUAAGAUCAAAGUGUAGUAUCUGUUCUUAUCAGCUUAAUCUCUGGUACGACUUCCAUAGGGAGUCCAGUAGAUUAAACUGAUUUUUGGAAAAUGACGGAGUGCUAGGGGCUUGCGACUCUGUCGCGGGUUGAUCUGGUAUUGCAGUACUUCCAGGAACGGCUCACCUGAU